rnacentral:rRNA from 1 species
UGGGCGGAANCCNGNGCAGCAACGCCGCGUGAGGAUGACGGCCUUCGGGUUGAAACCUCUUUUAGCAGGGAAGAAGCGAAAGUGACGGUACCUGCAGAAAAAGCGCCGGCUAACUACGUGCCAGCAGCCGCGGUAAUACGGAGGGGGCUAGCGUUGUUCGGAAUUACUGGGCGUAAAGCGCGCGUAGGCGGCCCAUCAAGUCAGGGGUGAAAGCCCGGGGCUCAACCCCGGAAAUGCCUUUGAGACUGAUGGGCUCGAGUUCGGGAGAGGAGAGUGGAAUUCCCAGUGUAGAGGUGAAAUUCGUAGAUAUUGGGAAGAACACCGGUGGCGAAGGCGGCUCUCUGGCCCGAGACUGACGCUGAGGCGCGAAAGCAUGGGGAGCAAACAGGAUUAGAUACCCUGGUAGUCCACGCCGUAAACGAUGGAUGCCAGACGUCGGGCGGCAUGCCGUUCGGUGUCGCACUAACGCAUUAAGCAUCCCGCCUGGGGAGUACGGCCGC